GUAAACAGCUGCCUUUACUGACAAAGGAUGUAGCGGAGCGUGAACGAGCAGCAAUAAUAAGGAGUUCUUCCAGCUGACCAGGGGGGUUAGAAGGUAUCUGACCAGCAGUCAUUGGGAUAUCCUGGAGCGAAGUCAAUCAGCCCGCUCACAGUUAAGUCCUUCAGGCUCUCACCUUGGAGGGCAAAAACUACUUUUAUAAAGCCGGCUCUUAUCCUUGCACACCGGCAGACAGGGUUGCUGCUCAACACUCCGAAGUGACAUCACCCUUUCCACUUCAAGGUCACCCGCGGGUGGGAUACGGCACCAGGCCGAUUUCAACCCAGAACUUGCUUUUGUCUUGACGAUUUCGGUUCAGCAGCCCGCUCCCACUCCAUCUACUUCAUCACCGGGAUGUCAUGAUGAAUGGGCGGCCGGCAAAGCGGAGAAAAGACGGAGACGUGGGGAGGGAGAAAGUGAGAGAAGGGGAGAGGAAAAGUGAUCUCCCCUCUGCCUUUUUAUCGCUCUAUUUCAUCAUGGAAAUCACCUCAUUUACUCCGAGCACUUCGCCAUUCAUCUCUUAUUGUCAGUGGCAAGACCCGUUUUCAAUCUGCAUCCGUCGCGUGUAUUAUGUGCGCGUCUGGUAGACUUGGAGGAACCGGGGAAGAGGCAGCAAACUAACGGCAGGCAGUUGCGUUUGCACAUAAGCAGCUACUUUUACGAAGUCGCGGUGACGUGUGAACAUCAUCCAUUAAACUUACUAUACUUCAA